ACGUAGGGUGCGAGCGUUAAUCGGAAUUACUGGGCGUAAAGCGUACGCAGGCGGCUGGGUAAGACAGAUGUGAAAUCCCCGGGCUCAACCUGGGAACUGCGUUUGUGACUGCAUUACUCGAGUACGGCAGAGGGAGGUGGAAUUCCGCGUGUAGCAGUGAAAUGCGUAGAGAUGCGGAGGAACACCGAUGGCGAAGGCAGCCUCCUGGGAUGACACUGACGCUCAUGCACGAAAGCGUGGGGAGCAAACAG
rnacentral:rRNA from 1 species